AUGGGUCAAAUCGGAUUAUCUUAACCUCCAUUCAUCCAGAACCUCUCGGCAAGCUUCGCCUGUACGAUUUUCAUUUUUUUCUUUAUCCUCUUAUUUUUUCACUUGUUCAAUUAGGCGUGAUUUCCUGGACAUUUCACCAGCGCUAACUGAGGCGGCUGGUGCCAUUGUUGAUAUUUGAACCUGAUAUGCUUGCAUUCUCCGGAUGCAAUUAUGGAGGUGGACAAAAGGAAAGGACAGAACUUGGGGAAAUUCGGAAGAGGUGGAAAACUUUACAUGAUAAAAACCCGGACAAAGAACGAAAGCAAGGAAGAUGUCCACUGAUUCCUGAGGAAGUUGGUCUUAUGCUGAGAGCAUUGGGUUUUGGAAGUGAUCUGAACAUGUAUGUGGCAUCAGGGGAAGUCUCUGGAGGUGAAGAGACUCUAGCACCACUCAAGGCGCGAUUUCCAAAUUUAUUCGAAAGAUAGGAGAUAUUUUGGGCAAAAGCCAACAAUUCCACAAAACAUGCAUGGGAAGAAUUUGCCUUAACAGAUUAUGAGCAUGAACAAGAAUACAGGAUUCAUCGGAUAUAGAUUAUAUAGAGAAUGAACAUGAUGCUCUGGAGAAGGGUGAUUUAUUCAUAAGUAGCUUACCAAGGAUAGACCAACUAGAACUGAAGGAGUUGGUCUCUGACAAACAAAUGAGACUGCUCUCUCACUGACCAAAUGCUCUUAGCCAAACCAUUUUUUCAUCACGAGAAGGAGCGCCUUGUAUAUAGUUAAGGACUCGGUGAAUAAGCAGGUUUCGAUAACAGAUAUUUGUAAUGAUUGCUUAUAGAGAAUAGGCUUGCAUAGAAGUACAGCUUCUUGCAGCAAAGCCAUUAGUAGCUGUAACAUUUAUUGACUCUUCUUUCCGUAAGGCGCGGUUGUUAUAGAAUGGGAACCUGAAUCUUAUAAAAAGA